rnacentral:rRNA from 1 species
CCUACGGGUGGCAGCAGUGGGGAAUAUUGCACAAUGGAGGAGACCCUGAUGCAGCGACGCCGCGUGAGUGAGGAAGUAUUUCGGUAUGUAAAGCUCUAUCAACAGGGAAGUAAAUGACGGUACCUGACUAAGAAGCCCCGGCUAACUACGUGCCAGCAGCCGCGGUAAUACGGAGGGGGCGAGCGUUAUCCGGAUUUACUGGGUGUAAAGGGAGCGUAGGCGGACUUGCAAGUCUGAUGUGAAAAUCCGGGGCCCAACCCCGGAAUUGCAGUGGAAACUGUAUAUCUAGAGUGUCGGAGAGGUAAGUGGAAUUCGUGGUGUAGCGGUGAAAUGCGUAGAUAUCAGGAGGAACACCAGUGGCGAAGGCAGCUUGCUGGACGAUGACUGACGUUGAGGCUCGAAAGUGUGGGGAGCAAACAGGAUUAGAUACCCGAGUAGUC